rnacentral:sRNA from 1 species
CUUUAGCCCUGAUGGUAGCGGCAUCCUUUUUAUUUUUUCUUUAAAAAUAAAAAGAUAUAGCGUACAGCAGGAGGGAUC